AUGGAAAUGGAACCCAGCCGAGGAACUGAGUUUGGGAUAGUUCUAGGCAGCAACCUCGUUGUCCCAGGAAGCCGGGCAUCUCUCACCAUGGCCAAGGCCUUGAUGCUCUUCCUAUUCCUCACUUCUUUUUGGGGUUGUCAUGCCCAGCUUACAAUGAUUCAGCCACCUUCUAUGUCGGCUUCCAUUGGAGAGACUGUCAAGAUCUCCUGUACAUUAAGUGGCACAGGCAUCAGCAGCUCCUAUACCUCCUGGUACCAACAGAAGCCUGGCAGUGCUCCAGUGAUGCUCAUAUAUAGAGAUGACGACAGAGCCUCAGGCAUCUCCGACCGAUUCUCAGGUUCCCUCGACAGCUCUGCCAAUACCGCCACCUUAACGAUCUCCAAUGUCCAAGCAGGGGAUGAGGCCGAUUAUCACUGUUUGUAUUAUUACAGCAGCAGCAAGAACACAAUGAUGCAAACACAUGGGGAAGUGAGACAAAAACCUCCAUGCAUCAGAUGUGCUUUGCACUGGUUGUGCUUGGCUGACGCACCCGCUGAGUCUCCUGUGACCAGUCGGGUGAACUAG